rnacentral:rRNA from 1 species
UACGAAGGUCCCUAGCGUUGUUCGGAAUUAUUGGGCGUAAAGCGCUUGUAGGUGGCUUUGAAAGUCGGGUGUGAAAGCCCCGGGCUUAACCCGGGAAGUGCACUCGAUACUCCUUAGCUUGAGUACGGUAGAGGUGAGUGGAAUACCUGGUGUAGUGGUGAAAUACGUAGAUAUCAGGUGGAACAUCAGUGGCGAAGGCGGCUCACUGGCCCGAUACUGACGCUGAGGCACGAAAGCGUGGGGGAGCAAACAGG